GGGGCUGUAGCUCAUUUGGGAGAGCGCGACGCUGGCAGCGUUGAGGUAAGGGGUUCGAUCCCCCUCAGCUCCA
rnacentral:tRNA from 1 species